GGCUCCUCUCUGUUCAUUCUUAUCCUGUAAAGAGCUUCUUCUAAAGAGUGUGUGGAAAUUUUAUGAAUGACUUUCUGUCAAGGCUGGCUCAGAGGACAUGUGGGAUCCUGGGAAGCAGGAUCUUUCAGAGAGGUCACCAUAUAUCCCAGAAUCACCAGAGACUGCAUAUGUCACAGCUGAAACUGGAGGGUAAGGUGCAUGUAGGGUUUUUGCAUGAGCCUAUAUCACAGUGUUGGGUGUUCGGCCAAGGCACCACAUUGACUGUCCUAGGUCAACCCAAGGCUACACCUUCAGUCACCCUGUUUCCACCAUCCUCUGAGGAGCUUAAGACCAAAAAGGCCACACUGGUGUGUGUGUUGACUGACUUUUACCCAGGUGUUGUGACAGUGGCCUGGAAGGCAGAUGGUACACCUAUCACCCAGGGUGUAGAGACCACUAAACCUUGGAAACAGGGUGACAAGUACGUGGCUAACAGCUACCUGCACUUGACAGAAGAAGCAUGGAAAUCUAAAAGCAGUGUCAGCUGCCUGGUCACUCAUGAAGGGGACACUGUGGAGAAGAGCUUGUCCCCUGGAAUGUGUUUCUAGACCUUUCAACAUUCAUCUCACCCACACAGGCUGGGAUUUGAAUGAUGCACAAGUAUACCUUUACUGCUCUUGCCUACAUAGCCCUUCUCCCUGCUCCUGAAAUGCACAAUAAAAUAUCCAUUCUUGGCUUGUAAUUCUACUCUAA